GGUCGCUGUCAGAGCAGCAUGCUGCACCUGGAAAAGCAGACACGGAGCCCCGACAGCCAACACAUAAAUACUGAAGCUCUGCAGUGAGAUGAGAAGGGGAAUGACAAUAAACAGGACAGAGCAGAGUUCGUGUAGCUGCUUAAUGAUGGAUAAAUACAGUUUUAGUUUUGUCCAACCAGAUGCCACAGAUCAGGGAGCCGACCAUGCCCGCUAUGACGAUGGUAAGGCCGAUCCUCCCAGCAUUCACCUCUUCUCUCUGAAGGGUCAAGGAAGACAGGACAUUGGUCAGUGACCCUGUGACCAUGUGACCUUACAUACUGAGGAAAGACAAGGCAGUUCCAGAUAAAGCAGACGCUGUUUCACACAGGGGAGGGUAAUGGUCGAUGAUCAUGCGGUUCAGCAGGGUGCCAACAGCAUAGAAACAACCUACGUUCAGACCUGUCGGACGGGAAAGACUGUCAAAGAAAGUGUGCGAACCACAAACCUCAGGAGAAAAUUAUUUUUCAGGAAACUUUUCACAACGUCGAUGAGCUAACUUCCAUAACGGAAUUAUGAAAUACUGUAAAAAGAGUGCGGGGAAGGAUUUGGUUCUCACUUGUGUGUAAUGGACCAAAUCAAACUGGUUUCCAAAACACAGAGCCGUCCUAAACCAAGGAUUUCUAUAAAAGGAUAAGUAGCCCUGAGUGUUUUUUCUUCAACAAAAGGUUUAUACAAAGCCGUUAACUCGGACAUAAACUAAACAAGACAA